rnacentral:sRNA from 1 species
UGAACUGCCGAAGACAGUAGGUGCCGCAAGGCAUAAGUUUGAAGACGCCUACCGAGGAUAGAAUACUUUCAGAAUUAUUUGAUAGUAACUAUAUGCUCUCAAGUCUUUGGAUUUGAGAGCUUUUCUUAUUAU